UUUCGGAGUCAUUCUUCUAAACCAGGGGUAGGGAACCUAUGGCUCUAGAGUCAGAUGUGGCUCUUUUGAUGACUGCAUCUGGCUCUCAGAUAAAUCUUAGCUGACAUUGCUUAACGCGAUAAUUAUGAAUAAUUUCGCUGGUAAUCACAGUACUAAAAAUAAUGUGCACAAUACAAAACAUUUUCAUGCAUUUAAAUCCAUCCAUCCGUUUUCUACCGCACCUGUUCAAGAAGUCGCAUUAAUGGUAAGAAGUAUUGUAUGUCACGAUGGGGGGGGGUCGCAGCUUGCUGCAGGGUCGUUCCCCCAGGAAGGCAGACGGACAUGAUCAACAGACAUGACAUUUUAUUUAUUAUUGGUUAGCUUCAGAAUAACAAUAUUAUCAAAAAGAAUAAGAGACUUAUUAUACUCUAAAAAUGUUGGUCUUACUUAAAAAUGCACGCAUUUAGUUGUAUUCAGUGUUAAAAAAUAUGAUAUGGCUCUCACGGAAAUAUGUUUUGAAAUAAUUGGCUUUCAUGACUCUCUCAGCCAAAAAACUUCCCGACCCCUGUUCUAAAGGGUAGUAAUUAAGGCAUACACGAAGCAGGUAUGUUGCUUAACUUUACUCACAUUUUUAUUAAGUCAUGAUUUUAGUGUAAUUUUAUUCAUACUUUUUAUAUCUUUUAAUGCAUUUUAGUUUUACUUUGUGUAUUUAAAAAAAAUUUUUUAUUUAAUGCUACACUUUUUUUCAAACUAAUGUCAAAGCAUAGAAAUAUGCCACCUCCUUAUGGAAUAUUUACAAAUAAAACAAAAACACAAUUAUAGCCAAUAUUUGAGUAAUUCCCACCAGUAAUAUUUCUGGUAAUUAAUACAGUUUAUUAUGUUAAUUAAAUACUGAUCUAAAUAUUAUCAAAUAAUUGAUUUCCCAGCAGGCACAAGACAUUGAUACAACAUUGAUUAUACUUACAUGUCCUUUAAAACAAACAUACUUCUAAACAACGUUGCAAAAACGCACUUGUAACUUGAGACAACGUUGAUUGUCUUAAGUUGGAUCCGCAAAUAAUCAAAUAAUCGUCUCAACCUGACAUUGAUUAAACGCCGUUAACAAUCAUGUUGUUUUAACAUAUUUAUGUUGUAGAAUAUUCGUUGAAAAAUGACCAAAACUCAAUGGUCAAAUCAACGUCAGAACCCGACGUUUGUCAAAAAGCAUGUUGUUCCAACGUUAAGUUUGGAGUUACUCAACAAGUUGUCAACGUUGUUUCAAUGUCUUGUGAUUCUCUAAGAAAACAAAAACUAUACAGUAAUAACGAGAGUCUUUUGAAAGGAUUUUUGAAAGGAAUGGCUCCCUUCAAAGAGCCGUAGAGCCAACCUGCAUCACGAGUUUAACCUCAUGAAUUAUUGUGCCUCCGAGGUGUUUUCCAACUAACCACACCACUUCAACUUAGAGACAGCAUAAGUCCAUUCCAGAAAUAGGUUAGCGUUUUUCAUACCUACACUUUUAUCGUUCUUUGGGUCAUAUCACUCGGUCAAGGCCUUUUUCAACAUUAAACACUACAACAUAUUAACAAUGUAUGAUUCCUGCUGAUCAAUAUCAGCCAAUACUUAAGACUCCAAUGUCAUAGCGAAAGUGGAAAGGUUGUAUUGCUUCCACACAUUCGCUCUCUAACGUUACACUGUUUAGCGACACAUUCAGUGGUGUUAUCCGUAAUGUUACACGAUCAAAGUCCGUAGAGUUCCACCCUAACCGGGAAAGUUCACUAAUAGUGACUAAAUGGAGGAAGGAAAUAAACCAAUGUGAGGAAAAAUAAUACUUUUUUUUACUCACCGGCCUUGUCUCCGAGAAAUGAUGCCAUUUUAUCCAUCUUGAGCGUCUUUGUGUGUGUGCUUGUUUGCGUUCCGACAGGUGAGGUUCUUUAUCCACAGCUCACAGACCAGAGAGUGGGCGUGUCUAUCUCGUCAGGGUCAACCUGUUCCACCUGCUGGGACGGCUGGACCAUUGUCCACUUUGUCUCCAUCGUUAUGCCUGGGCUCGACAAUGUCAAACACCGGCGACCUUAAACUUGAGAGACGGCGUGCCCUAACAGUGUCUGUCAUGCAGUCCCUUUGGAGACCAUUGUGUCGACACCGGCACAUAUCCUGGAAGACAAAGCUCAGGGUCGCCGUUCUCCUGUACGGCCCCGACACAUGACCGCUGAAUACCACACUGGCGGCCAGGUUUGAUGGUUUUGAUACCACUGGCCCUUAAGGGAAUUGAAGGCAUCACAUGGAGCCUGCACCUCACAAACCGAACUUUAAGACUUUAAGAGACUAAACCCAACUCCCAGCAAGGGUUUGUUGGCAUGGUCACAUCAUUCAACGAGUACCAUCGUAACUUUCAAUCCCCAGCAAGCCAGUUGGAGACGACCCAGAGGUGCCUCCCGCCCCGCUGGCUGGAUGAAAUAGCCUUUAAAGGCCUACUGAAACCCACUACUACCCACCACGCAGUCUGAUAGUUUAUAUAUCAAUGAUGAAAUAUUAACAUUGCAACACAUGCCAAUACGGCCUUUUUAGUUUACUAAAUUGCAAUUUUAAAUUUCCCGGGACUAUUUUCUUGAAAACGUCGCGUAAUGAUGACGUGUACGCGUGACGUCACGGGCUGUUAUGAAUAUGAGCGCUGCGUACACACACAGCUAAAAGUCGUCUGCUUUAACGGCAUAAUUACACAGUAUUUUGGAGAUCUGUGUUGCUGAAUCUUUUGCAAUUUGUUCAAUUAAUAUUGGAGAAGUCAAAGUAUAAAGACGGAGUUGGGACGCUUUAGCCUUUAGCCACACAAACACACGGUGAUUACUUGUUUAAAAUUCACGGAGGUGAAACUUUAGUAUGGAUCACAGCGGUCAUGGAUCCCGACCGACUACAUGUCAACCAGCAGGUUUCGGUGAGAAAAUUGUGGUUAAAAAGUCGCCUCUUACCGGAUAUCAGCUGAGCUUGUGCCGUCCAUACAGCUGCCGUCGACUUCCCCAAGACACUGCGCGUCAACACCCGGCCGUGGACGUACACUUCCGACUAUCAGGUACAGUUAAACUCACUAAAACUCUAGCAACACAAUAGGAAGAUAAGGGAUUUCCCAGAAUUAUCCAAGUAAAUGUCUCUAAAAACAUAUGAAUCCGUCUCAAUGCAACGCGAUUGCAAUCGCGUUUUGUUUUGUUUUUACUUUUUUUGUUUGUUUUUUUCUAAUCCGUCGCUAUCAAUAUCCUCGAACACAAAUCUUUCAUCCUCUCUCAAAUUAAUGGGGAAAUUGUCGUUUUCUCGGUCUGAGUAGCUGUUUUUGUUGGAGGCUCCCAUUAAAAUCAAUGUGAAUAUAUGAGGAGCCCUCAAAAUGUGAUGUCAUCGUCUGCGACUUCCGGUAGAGGCAGGGCUUUUCUCCAGUUGCGAACUUUAUCGUGGAUGUUCUCUACUAAAUCCUUUCAGCAAAAAUAUAGCAAUAUCGCGAAAUUACCAAGUAUGACACAUAGAAUGGACCUGCUAUCCCCGUUUAAAUAACAAAAUCUCAUUUUAGUAGGCCUUUAACGUGACUCUGGCACAAGCUCAACUCUUUGCCCACAAUAGACCCAAAUGGAGAGACCUGGUUGCCUCUACACGCCUUGAAGUGUAAUAGGACUGAAGAAAAGAAAGAAGGAGAGAGCAGUUGGUGUUUUCUAACGGCAGCCAAUAGGAACCCGGCUGACCUCCGAUGUUGGCGAUGGACUCGGGUCCCACGAUCAGGUCCUCAAAUUGUCUCUGAGCGUG